rnacentral:rRNA from 1 species
UACAGAGGGGGCAAGCGUUGUUCGGAAUUACUGGGCGUAAAGGGCGCGUAGGCGGCCCGCUAAGUCGAACGUGAAAUCCCCGGGCUCAACCCGGGAACUGCGUCCGAUACUGGCAGGCUUGAAUCCGGGAGAGGGAUGCGGAAUUCCAGGUGUAGCGGUGAAAUGCGUAGAUAUCUGGAGGAACACCGGUGGCGAAGGCGGCAUCCUGGACCGGCAUUGACGCUGAGGCGCGAAAGCGUGGGGAGCAAACAGG